AUGUGCUUACCAAAGAGUAGAGGAGGAAUGGGGUUCAGAGACAUUCACUGUUUUAACUUGGCAUUACUGGCUAAACAAGCAUGGCGACUCAUUGAAGACCCUGAAUCCCUCUAUGCAAAGAUUCUUAAAGCAAAAUACUACCCUAAUGUUGAGCUUAUGAAUGCUAGUCUCAAGAAGAAGGCCUCUUAUACAUGGCAAAGUAUAAUGGCAGGUGUGGAGACGUUGAAACAUGGACAUAUUUGGAGGGUGGGAGAUGGCCAAAAAAUAAAUAUAUGGGAAGAUAGCUGGACCCCACAAUAUCCCACCAGGAUGGUUAUCUCUAGAAAAGGGAAUCACCUCCUCUCUCGAGUGUCAGAUUUUAUUGAUCCAGGGUCAUUGUACUAGGAUUCGGGGCUGCUAAACCAAACGUUUUGCAGUGUUGAUGUCUAGAGAAUUCUUGCAAUUCCACUACCAAUUUAUGAAAUGACAAACUUUUUAGCUUGGAGCUUUACUAAAAUAGGUGGCACCUUAAGGUCAGCAUACCAUGCCGUCUUGGAGUCAAAGUUUGGCCAUAAUCUGCAAGCUACAACGAGUUCUUCCUCGCCUACACCUACGUGGGACUCGGUGUGGAGUUUGAGCUGCCCAGCAAAGGUUAAUUUUUUUGUUUGGAGAGCACUUCUUAGUGUAGUUCCAUGUCUAUCAAUAUUGGCUGAUAGACAUAUCAAGAUCAACCCAAGUUGUCAUGUGUGUAACAAUGGGCCGGAGAGCAUCCGUCACCUGUUUUUUGAAUGUCCAGUUGCAGUUCAGGUUUGGAAACUGCUUAGAGUGUGGGAUGUAUUACAGAUGGGAUUGGUGAUGAACACAAGUGGGGAGGUUGUGCUGGAUUUCCUUCUCAUCCUUCCAGGCGAUCAUAUCCAUGUGCUAGGUUUGCCAAAAUGGCGAGAAACAGUGGCUACAUGUUGCUGGUACAUGUGGUGGGAAAGGAGAAAUAUUACACAUGGAGGUGAUCCACAAACGGCGCCACAGAUUAACCUUGCUAUAACCUUGCUAUACGUUCCUUGGCAGAGAACUUUAUAG
rnacentral:rRNA from 1 species